UCAAGUGCUAAGGCAUUGGUGGAUGCCUUGGCACUGAGAGGCGAUGAAGGACGUGAUACGCUGCGAUAAGCCGUGGGAGCUGCGAAUGAGCUUUGAUCCGGAUCUCCGAAUGGGGAAACCCACUUCGCUGUCAAGCAGUAUCGCUGCGAGCUGUUUGCAAGAGUCACAUAGGUAUUUACCUGAAUACAUAGGGUAGAAGCGAACCCAGGGAACUGAAACAUCUAAGUACCUGGAGGAAAGGACAUCAACCGAGACUCCGCUAGUAGUGGCGAGCGAACGCGGACCAGGCCAGUGCUAUCUGAGAUAAGCGGAACAGUCUGGAAAGCGGCCAUAGCGGGUGAUAGCCCCGUACGGGUAGAACGCAGUGACAUCGAGUAGGCGGGACACGUGAAAUCCUGUCUGAACAUGGGGGACCACCCUCCAAGCCUAAGUACUCCUCAGUGACCGAUAGUGAACAAGUACCGUGAGGGAAAGGUGAAAAGCACCCCGACGAGGGGAGUGAAACAGACCUGAAACCGGAUGCCUACAAACAGUCGGAGGCGCAAGGCUGACGCGUACCUUUUGUAUAAUGGGUCAGCGACUUAGUCUGACGAGCAAGCUUAAGCCGAUAGGUGUAGGCGCAGCGAAAGCGAGUCUGAACAGGGCGUUAGUUCGUGAUUAGACCCGAAACCGAGUGAUCUAGCCAUGAGCAGGUUGAAGGUGGUAACACCACUGGAGGACCGAACCGUCACUGUUGAAAAGUUCGGAUGACUUGUGGCUAGGGGUGAAAGGCCAAUCAAACUCGGAAAUAGCUGGUUCUCCGCGAAAGCUAUUUAGGUAGAGCGUCGAUGAAUACUCCGGGGGUAGAGCACUGGAUGGGCUAGGGGUCACCGUCUUACCAAUCCUAACCAAACUCCGAAUACCGGAAGUACUAGUCGGCAGACACACGGCGGGUGCUAACGUCCGUCGUGAAGAGGGAAACAACCCUGACCUCCAGCUAAGGUCCCCAAGUCAUGGCUAAGUGGGAAAGGAUGUGGGAUCCCAAAACAACCAGGAGUUGGCUUAGAAGCAGCCAUCCUUUAAAGAAAGCGUAACAGCUCACUGGUCUAAUAAGGGUCCUGCGCCGAAAAUGUAACGGGGCUCAAGCCAUGCACCGAAGCUGAGGAUUGACUGCAAGCUGGUAGCGGAGCGUUCCGUAAGCCUGCGAAGGGACCGUGAGGGCUGCCUGGAGGUAUCGGAAGUGCGAAUGCUGACAUGAGUAACGACAAAGAGUGUGAGAGACCUCUCGCCGAAAGUCCAAGGGUUCCUGCGUAAAGUUAAUCUGAGCAGGGUUAGCCGGCCCUAAGGCGAGGCCGAAAGGCGUAGUCGAUGGGAACCAGGUUAAUAUUCGUGGCCUGGUGGUAGUGACGGAUGCGUAACUGUGUCGGCUUAUUGGAUUGUCUGGCAGGAGCGGUUCCAGGAAAUAGCUCCACCGUAUAGACCGUACCCGAAACCGACACAGGUGGACAGGUAGAGUAUACCAAGGCGCUUGAGAGAACUAUGCUGAAGGAACUCGGCAAAUUGCCUCGUAACUUCGGAAAGAGGUGCCCCUUGGCGCAAGAUGGGGGGCACAGACCAGGGGGUAGCGACUGUUUAUCAAAAACACAGGCUCUGCGAAGUCGAAAGACGACGUAUAGGUCUGACGCCUGCCCGGUGCUGGAAGGUUAAGAGGAGAGGUGCAAGCUCUGAAUCGAAGCCCCAGUAAACGGCGGCCGUAACUAUAACGGUCCUAAGGUAGCGAAAUUCCUUGUCGGGUAAGUUCCGACCUGCACGAAUGGCGUAACGACUUCCCGCUGUCUCCACAGAGACUCAGUGAAAUUGAAUUCCCGUGAAGAUGCGGGUUCCUGCGGUCAGACGGAAAGACCCCGUGCACCUUUACUAUAGCUUUGCACUGGCAUUCGUGUCGCAUGUGUAGGAUAGGUGGAGGCUUUGAAGCGGGCGCCAGUCUCGUGGAGCCACCUUGAAAUACCACCCUUAUCGUCAUGGAUGUCUAACCGCGCCGUAUCCGGUCCGGGACAGUGUAUGGUGGGUAGUUUGACUGGGGCGGUCGCCUCCCAAAGAGUAACGGAGGCGCGCGAUGGUGGCUCAGACGGUCGGAAAUCGUCGUCGAGUGCAAUGGCAUAAGCCGCCUGACUGCGAGACUGACAAGUCGAGCAGAGACGAAAGUCGGCAUAGUGAUCCGGUGGUCCCGCGUGGAAGGGCCAUCGCUCAACGGAUAAAAGGUACGCCGGGGAUAACAGGCUGAUGACUCCCCAAGAGUCCAUAUCGACGGGGAUGUUUGGCACCUCGAUGUCGGCUCAUCGCAUCCUGGGGCUGGAGAAGGUCCCAAGGGUUCGGCUGUUCGCCGAUUAAAGUGGUACGUGAGCUGGGUUCAGAACGUCGUGAGACAGUUCGGUCCCUAUCUGCCGUGGGUGUAGGAAUUUGAGAGGAUCUGCCCUAGUACGAGAGGACCGGGAUGGACGUACCUCUGGUGGACCUGUUGUCGCGCCAGCGGCAUGCAGGGUAGCUAUGUACGGACGGGAUAACCGCUGAAAGCAUCUAAGCGGGAAACCCACCUCAAAACGAGUAUCUCCCUUGAGAGCCGUGGAAGACGACCACGUUGAUAGGCAGGGUGGAAUGCGGCGACGCAAUGAAAAGCUACCGUACUAAUAGCUCGAAUCGGCUUGAUGUU
rnacentral:rRNA from 1 species